rnacentral:rRNA from 1 species
UGGGGAAUUUUGGACAAUGGGCGAAAGCCUGAUCCAGCAAUGCCGCGUGUGUGAAGAAGGCCUUCGGGUUGUAAAGCACUUUUGUCCGGAAAGAAAUCCUCUGGGUUAAUACCUCGGGGGGAUGACGGUACCGGAAGAAUAAGCACCGGCUAACUACGUGCCAGCAGCCGCGGUAAUACGUAGGGUGCAAGCGUUAAUCGGAAUUACUGGGCGUAAAGCGUGCGCAGGCGGUUUUGUAAGACGGAUGUGAAAUCCCCGGGCUUAACCUGGGAACUGCAUUCGUGACUGCAAGGCUAGAGUAUGGCAGAGGGGGGUUAGAAUUCCACGUGUAGCAGUGAAAUGCGUAGAGAUGUGGAGGAAUACCGAUGGCGAAGGCAGCCCCCUGGGCCAAUACUGACGCUCAUGCACGAAAGCGUGGGGGAGCAAACAGGAUUAGAUACCCUGGUAGUCCACGCCCUAAACGAUGUCAACUAGUUGUUGGGGAUUCAUUUCCUUAGUAACGUAGCUAACGCGUGAAGUUGACCGCCU